rnacentral:tRNA from 1 species
GGGGACCUAGCUCAGUGGUAGAGCGGGGGAUAGGAGAUCCCCAAGGUCAGUGGUUCGAGUCCGCUGGUCCUCA